GUUGAAUAUCUAUUGGUAUUCUAGUUCUACUAUCUAUGAGUAAUAGCAAAUCAAUUUCUUGUUUGCAGUUAGAGCUUCUCAAAGACAUCGCGCGAGUAUAGGGAUAACACAACUUGCUUUUACUUCUCGAUGCAUAAUAGGAGAAAAUGAAUCUGGACCUUAGAUACAGAAGAAAAUUAAAUCAACCUAGAGAUACUGUAUAGUAGGGAUCGAAGAACAUUGAAGCAGAUUGCAAAGUUGAUUCAGAGAAAGCAUGACGAUAAAUGAGGUAACACCUCUUGAUCAUAAUCAUCCAGUACUUUAUCUACAACCUUCUGAUGCUCCAGGCACCGUUUUAGUAGCAAUCAAACUCACAGGACUAGAAAACUAUGACUUGUGGAGUAGAUCGAUGAAAUUAUCCUGAAAGGUAAACUAGAUUUUGUUGAAGGAACCUGCAUCAAAAUUAAUUACAAGGGAGAUUUAGCAGAACAAUGGGAAAAAUGCAAUGCGAUAGUGCUUUCAUAGAUUGGAAGCACAGUUGCAAACAAAUAGAUACCAGUAACUGUGUAUGCAACAAGUGCUAAGACGAUCUGGCUAGACUUCACAGAGAUAUUUGAUAGAACAAAUUUAACAUGAAUCUACAAUCUCUAGACAGAAAUUGCGACCUUAAGACAAGGAACAGACGCGGUGACUACAUACUAUUCGAGGAUGAAGGAUCUAUGGGAUGAGGUUGAUGUAUCAGUGCCCUUACCAGCUUGUGAUUACUCAGAAUCAGCUCCUUACGUUGAACACCUGAAGUCACAACGCCUUUUACAUAUUAAGGGUAAAUAAAUUGUACUGAAGUAUGUCUUACCAAACAAAUUAUUUCUAUUUUUCUAUUUAAAUAAUAGUAAUAGUAAAAAUAAAAGAGAGGAAAAAGUAAGAAAACUUCCAUAUUAUUUUUUAUUUCCCUCCCUUUUAACCUAGUAAAUCAUAUUUGCGGUCUUAAUCCCUCCAUAUUCCCACCUUCAGCGCCAUAUUCCCACCUUCCCCUCCAUGUUUCCACUUUCCCCUGUUCUCCCCUUUUCUUGGUGAAAACUUCCCUUUCCAGAGCUAUAAAUUCCCAGAUAGUUCCUUUGGGAGAGAUGUUAUUCAGAUUAUCGAUCAACAUAAGCCAUGCCAAAGGUGAAACGUUUCAAGAAUCCACUAAAGGUUGCUAAUGGACGUGCUUCAUCAUCAACUACUCCAGCGGCACAAGCUCUCCCAGAUGCUUCAACAAUUCCCUCGCAAGCUCAUGAAGAACAAGCUCCAAUUCUCCUACAAGAAGAACAAGCUUCAAUUCCACCGCCACAAGAACAAGUUCACGUUCUGCCUUCUAAUUCAAGUGUACCCCUUAUGAACAAACGUAUAUAUUCAAAAUAUUGGAAUGUAGACACAAGAGACUCAGAAAACUCUAUCAAGCAAAUUCAUGUCAGGGCCAAUGAGGUUAAUAACCUAACUGUUGGAGAGCGCAUUAUUGUGAAAUUUGAUGACUAUAACACAACAUAUGGUGAAGCACAAGGAUUGCUCGCUGGAUAUUGUGGAUCUUUGGCAAUUGAUUGUAAUUUGUUUCCGAUUAGUUUUGAGAGGUGGUCAGGACCAUUAGGCAUUCCUAAGAAGUACAUGGAAGACUGCUUUAAAACAAUAUUGAAGCCUCGAUUUCUUUUUGAGGUAAGAGAGUCCAUAGCAUACAGAUAUUGCAAUGCUAGUAUUUCAAAGAAGUGGGCUACACAUAGACAAAGGUUGUGGAGUGAAUAUUUGACCCAGCCAAAAGCAAAAAUGAGAUUCUAAGUAAUGUACCAUCUGGUAUAAAUAAAGAUCAAUGGGCUAGUUUUGUUUCUUAUCGUAUGAAACCAUCAACAAUGGAGAUUUGUAGAAGAAAUAAGGAAAUUCAGAAGAUGCAAAAAAUGCCACAUACUGGUGGUUCAAAAGCUAACUCGAGAAGACGACAUGAAUUGUUUCUGGAAACUGGAAAAACUACCAGUCGGGCAAAAAUGUUUAUUGAAACUCAUAAGAGAAGGAAUGGAUCAUUUGUGAAUGAUGAAGCACGAACUAUAGGGAAGCAAAUUGUACUGAAUAUGACUCAAGGCGACACCAAUGAGACUGAAGUUUCCCCAAAUGAUACUAUUGGGAAGAUGUUAGGGGCAGAGCACUCUGGGAGAGUAAGAUGUAUGGGUAUGGUAGCAUCUCCUUCAAACACAUUUUUGAAUACCAAACGACGAUUUAGUGAACUGAGCAUUUCUUCGUCUAGCUAUGGUGCAUCGUCCACAAAUUCUACCUAUUUGCAUCAAAAGGUCGUGCAUUUGGAGUCCCAAUUAGAAGGAACCUUGAUUGCGUUGAAGGAUUACAUGAUAUCAAAGGAUGGUGGAGUUCCUGAACAAUUUUCUACUCUAUUUUCUCCUCAGUCAGAACCUGCUGAUUCGGAGAAUGACCCUGUUUCACUGGUGGAUAUUAGGGGAUCAUCGAUCAAUAACAACACAAAUCAGCAAUCAACUGCUUAAUAUUUUAUUUGUGGACUACUUUAGCUUUUUACGAAUCUGAAUUUUUAAUGAUUGUUUAGACUUGUUUUCCAUACUUUAGUUUGACAUCCGUACUUAAAUUUAUGACUUGCUAUUUUGGGUAUUUUAAUAGUAAUUUAUUUAUGAUUU